rnacentral:rRNA from 1 species
AUGCGCUCGACCUCCACCUCCACUGGACGGAGGAGAGGGACCCCGCUGCUGCCGUCGCAGUCAGGUCGCGCUGCGUCCCGCGCCGCCGCCGCUUCUCGGCGGAGGAGAGGAACCCCGCCGCCGACGAAGGGCCGAGCCCCCUGCGUCUCACGCCGCCGCCACCGCCGCUGCCUCUGCUCGACGGAGGAGAGGAACCCGGCCGCCGACGAAGGCCGAGCCCACUGUAUUUCACGCCGCCGCCGCUGCUUGAGGAAGGAGAGGGACCCCUGUGGCGGCGAGGAGGAGAGAGGAGGGAGGGAUGGGGACGAUGGAGGCGGGGCAGGAUGA